GACGAACGCUGGCGGCGUGCUUAACACAUGCAAGUCGAACGGAAAGGCCCUGCUUUUGUGGGGUGCUCGAGUGGCGAACGGGUGAGUAAAACGUGAGUAACCUGCCCUUGACUUUGGGAUAACUUCAGGAAACUGGGGCUAAUACCGGAUAGGAGAUCCUGCUGCAUGGUGGGGGUUGGAAAGUUUCGGCGGUGGGGGCUGGACUCGCGGCUUAUCAGCCUGUUGGUGGGGUAGUGGCUUACCAAGGCUUUGACGGGUAGCCGGCCUGAGAGGGUGACCGGCCACAUUGGGCCUGAGAUACGGCCCAGACUCGUACGUGAGGCAGCGGUGGAGAAUAUUGCGCAGUGGGCGGAAGCCUGAUGCAGCAGCGCCGCGUGCGGGAUGACGGCCUUCGGGUUGUAAACCGCUUUCGCCUGUGACGAAGCGUGAGUGACGGUAAUGGGUAAGGAAGCACCGGCUAACUACGUG
rnacentral:rRNA from 1 species